rnacentral:tRNA from 1 species
GUCCCCGUAGCUCAGUUGGAUAGAGCACAAGUUUCCUAAACUUGGGGCCGUAGGUUCAAAUCCUAUCGGGGACACCA